rnacentral:rRNA from 1 species
GUGAGGAAUAUUGCGCAAUGGAGGCAACUCUGACGCAGCCAUGCCGCGUGCAGGAAGAAGGCGCUACGCGUUGUAAACUGCUUUUAACCGGGAAGAAACCCCAGGACGUGUCCUGGGUUGACGGUACCGGAGGAAUAAGCACCGGCUAACUUCGUGCCAGCAGCCGCGGUAAUACGAAGGGUGCAAGCGUUAUCCGGAUUCAUUGGGUUUAAAGGGUGCGUAGGCGGAGUGUUAAGUCAGUGGUGAAAUCCUGCAGCUUAACUGUAGACUUGCCAUUGAUACUGGCGCUCUUGAGUGCGCUUGAAGUGGGCGGAAUGUGCCGUGUAGCGGUGAAAUGCUUAGAUAUGGCACAGAACACCAAUUGCGAAGGCAGCUCACUAAGGCGAUACUGACGCUGAGGCACGAAAGCGUGGGGAUCGAACAGGAUUAGAUACCCUAGUAGUCC